UAAAAUCUAAGGACACAGCCGAUACACCUCCUCCGCCUCCCCUACGACUUUGCGAGUUGCGACCUCCUUCGCCUCCUUUGCGGCUUUGCGAGUAAUGAACGGCGAGCAGCCGAUACACCUCCUCCUGCCUCUCCUGCGAUUCUGCGAACAGCUUACGAAGACUCUUCCGCAACUCUGCGACUCUGCAUCUUUGUCACUCACGUCUCCACCCCAGCCCGUCGCCGUCGUCUUUGCUACCCACGUCUCCGUCGCUCCCUUUUCGUCCUUCCGCCGUCGCUCUCUCGUCCAGUUGUCGUUCGCCAUGGUCGCCCUCUCUUCUAGCCGCCGUCAUCUCGAUGUGAUGCCGAUGCCGUCGAUCCUGCAGAAGUUGACAAGCUGAUGAAAAUUCAGAGGGAGUUGGAUGAAACAAAAAUUAUUCUUGUAUUGGGUAUUGAUCUGUCUUGGAGACUGCACAAAGCAUCUGAUGGUCAAAGGAGGAGGCUACAAAUUUGUAUGGGUCUUUUGAAACCAUUCACGGUACACCUGCAAGACUUUCUAACAUGAUACUUUGCAAGUGAUGUUGUGACAAAAUCAUCUGAAUUGGAAAGCCAACUAAAGGCAGAGUAAAGCUCUAUGGGUAUGGGUUCUUAAGGAUGAUUUGAAGAAGCAUGUGAGCACAACAGAAUUACCUGAGAUGCUUGAAUGCAAUGACUAUGUUAGUUUCUAUAGGAUCAGAACUUGACUUACGAUGGUAGCUUCUUUUACUUGCUUAUAAGAAGCUUUACACAUUAAGCUGUUGUUUGAAUAAUCUGAAUUAUGAACUUUUAAGUCAUGAUGCAUGUAAAGUACCUUAUUAUCUCUUUUGAUACCAUUUCUAACGAUGUAACACUUUGCAAUGUUAUCUUUUUGUUAUUGA